UGCAAGUCGAACGAUGACUCUCUAGCUUGCUAGAGAUGAUUAGUGGCGGACGGGUGAGUAACAUUUAGGAAUCUACCUAGUAGUGGGGGAUAGCUCGGGGAAACUCGAAUUAAUACCGCAUACGACCUACGGGUGAAAGGGGGCGCAAGCUCUUGCUAUUAGAUGAGCCUAAAUCAGAUUAGCUAGUUGGUGGGGUAAAGGCCCACCAAGGCGACGAUCUGUAACUGGUCUGAGAGGAUGAUCAGUCACACCGGAACUGAGACACGGUCCGGACUCCUACGGGAGGCAGCAGUGGGGAAUAUUGGACAAUGGGGGCAACCCUGAUCCAGCCAUGCCGCGUGUGUGAAGAAGGCCUUUUGGUUGUAAAGCACUUUAAGCAGGGAGGAGAGGCUAAUGGUUAAUACCCAUUAGAUUAGACGUUACCUGCAGAAUAAGCACCGGCUAACUCUGUGCCAGCAGCCGCGGUAAUACAGAGGGUGCGAGCGUUAAUCGGAAUUACUGGGCGUAAAGCGAGUGUAGGUGGCUCAUUAAGUCACAUGUGAAAUCCCCGGGCUUAACCUGGGAACUGCAUGUGAUACUGGUGGUGCUAGAAUAUGUGAGAGGGAAGUAGAAUUCCAGGUGUAGCGGUGAAAUGCGUAGAGAUCUGGAGGAAUACCGAUGGCGAAGGCAGCUUCCUGGCAUAAUAUUGACACUGAGAUUCGAAAGCGUGGGUAGCAAACAGGAUUAGAUACCCUGGUAGUCCACGCCGUAAACGAUGUCUACUAGCCGUU
rnacentral:rRNA from 1 species